GCGUGAGUGAUGAAGGCCCUAGGGUCGUAAAGCUCUUUCGCCAGGGAUGAUAAUGACAGUACCUGGUAAAGAAACCCCGGCUAACUCCGUGCCAGCAGCCGCGGUAAUACGGAGGGGGUUAGCGUUGUUCGGAAUUACUGGGCGUAAAGCGCGCGUAGGCGGAUUAAUAAGUUGGGGGUGAAAUCCCGGGGCUCAACCCCGGAACUGCCUCCAAAACUGUUAGUCUUGAGUUCGAGAGAGGUGAGUGGAAUUCCGAGUGUAGAGGUGAAAUUCGU
rnacentral:rRNA from 1 species